rnacentral:rRNA from 1 species
UACGUAGGGGGCGAGCGUUGUCCGGAGUUACUGGGCGUAAAGCGCACGCAGGCGGUCUGCUAAGUUUGGAGUGACAGUUGGUGGCUCAACCACCAAAGUGCUUUGAAAACUGACAGACUUGAGGGCUUCAGAGGGACACGGAAUUCCGGGUGGAGUGGUGAAAUGCGUAGAGAUCCGGAGGAACACCGAUGGCGAAGGCAGCCCCCUGGGAUAACACUGACGCUGAGGAGCGAAAGCCAGGGGAGCAAACGGG